GCAGGGGUGGGUGUCCUUGUAAGAGAAAAGGCAGCACACAGACACAUGGGGGGGGGAAUGUGACAAUGGGGGGGGGAGACUGGAGUGACCCCUGUACAAGCUGAGGAGCCCAGGAUUGCUGGUGGCCACCAGGAGCUGGGAGAGGGGCCCAGAACAAAUUCUCUCUCAGAGCCUCCAGAAAGAACCAACCCUGUGGCACCUUGAUUUUGGACUUCUGGCCUCCAGACCCAUGAGCGAAUCCAUCUCAGUUGCUUCAGGUCACCCCGUCUGUGGUGACCAUGGCUGCCCUGGAAAACCAACAUGGUUCCCGAGGAGCUGGCGAUGUGACAUUGGACAGCCUCUCAACUCAGUCUCGUAUCCAUGGCUAUUGUCAUGCCUGCCUUGUGGGAUACGGGGAAGAAUGAACAAGCCCAUGUGGCACAGAUCACAUGAGAGAGUUUUCUGCGUGCUGUUCAUUUUACUGAGUCCGGAGAAGGUGACAGGGACGCAGCUGCUGCAAGGAAAAGCUGCCUUGGCCCCUGGGCUCUUGCAGGGCUGAGCUCCCACACAGGGGCCCCGGGGGCUGAGCUCUGCCUGACCUGGUCAUUUUGAAAUCAGGGGCCCCUCCUGGGAAGGAUGCAGGCUGAGGAGAGCUGCUAGGCAGGCUUAAAAAUCAGGGCUUGAGAUGACUCAUCUGUGGCUAUUUAUUACCGACCUACAUUUCUCGGUCUGAUUGGGCUGCUCGAGGGCCAAGCCUCCUUCUUUCUGGGUGCUGACUAAGCAACCCAGGGUCCUGCCCGCCUAUGGCCUCAUCUGGAGCUCACUCUCCUCGCCCUCAGCAACACGCGGGCCCCGUGGGGCCGCUGGAAGUUCCCCCUAACUGCCCUCACUGAGGUCUUCCCAGCAACCCCACUCUCUGUGGGUUCCUGUUCUUUCUCCCCACAGUUCUCAGCUUCUUUGUCACCUCCUCAGGGAAGCCCUCUCUGACCACCACGCCCACCCUGUCGCGAUCUGCUUAGGUGGCCUGUAGAGAGCAAGAUGGAGUCACUCAUGCCAAGCAGGGGCCUGUGUCAAGCAAUGUCCCCGGCAGUGAAGGGGGCUGCAGCUGCCAGAUCUCACUGAGACCCACACCAGCUGAGGACGCUCCAGAACUGAUAACCAACAGAAGCAGACCGGGUCUGCAGGGGCCCGAGACGGAUUCAACCCCUUUAGAAAGGGGAGGAGGUUUGCAGCAAACUGCACGACCCCUCUCGGUCUGAUGGCCUCAAGAAGGCAGCCGCACCCAAGGCUCUGCCCGAUGGAUCUCCGAACAGAACCGAGAGCCUUCCCCGCUUGGACAUAAGCAGCAGUGAGUGCCAAGAGCUGCCCCGGGCCGGACCGAGGCCUCAGCUCAAGCGGGCGCCCACAGCUUGACUUCGCGUCUGGUUGUCUGGUUCGUUACCUUCCUACGCCCUCUGCUCUCCUGUUUGUUAUGUGGCUUGUCUUGUGUUCUGCUCGUGUGCCCUGUGAGAAGCCAAGUUAAUCAGGAGGUGAAAUGUCAUUGACUUUGGAAUCCUGGACCUGCUUCCUAAUUAUGUUACCCCUGCUUUAUGAUUGAAUAAAGGCCACAUCGUGGAAAGACA
ensembl:lncRNA